UUAUCCGUCAUAUUCUCUCGUUUAAGAUAUGUGGCUUAGAAUCUUCGUCCGUGUGAGAGAAACAUCCGCUUCUCUACCGAAUCACACUCCCUACUCUCACGAAUCCUCAAAUUACUCCGACAUCAAUCUAUACCAAAAUAAUUCUGGAUCGUGGCCCCCCGUUUUUUAUUGUCUCUCCUUUUGUUCUUCGUUGUUGUUCUAUAAUCAAUCAGCUGGUUGUUUUCUGCAUUUUGUUUUGUCGAGAGAGAACAGUGGGAGGAUGUGGAUCAUUUGGCUCACGAAAGGAGCAAGACCCAGUUCGAUGUGGACCAGAUGAAGGUCGUCUGGGCCGGCUCCCGCCACGCCUUGGAAGUCUCCGAUCGGAUUGUCGCCACCGAUUCAGAGUUUAAGAAGGAUGAUAGGACUAGGCUAAGUAGGAAGGACUUGUUUAAGGACACACUGAGAAAAGCAGCUCAAGUCUGGAAGCGGAUCAAUGAGCUUAAACUUACUGGGAGGUUUCAUGUUUUACGGAUUUAGUACACUUUGUCUAUGAUUUUGUUGGUUGAAUGACUCGAUUGUGCUACUGUUAAUUUCAGAGGAAGAAGCAUCCAAGUUCAACCUUCAUAUAUGGAAUAAUUUCAGAGGAAGAAGCAUCCAAGUUCAACCUUCAUAUAUGGAUCUUCACUGGGGAAUGUUUAUACCUUUUAUUAAAGGAUCAGGUAUUGGGGUUCAAUCUAAGGAAGAAGAAGACUGAACAUAACGCACUCCAAACCAGAGACUGAUUUGGGCCCUCUCUUAUUUCCCCUCGGCUUUGUAGUGUUGGGUUCCCUAGAGUUGUUAGUAAUGCUUUAAACUAUGACCUCUUUGGUGCAAGAUGCACAAAAGGUUUUUCUUUGCUGUAAUUUAGCCUUUCGUAUCAAAAAAAAAACCAAAGGCUGAUUUCUAGGCAAAAUCAGCUAGUCCCAUCUCCAAAUCAGGAUUCCUGCCGAAAAUUUGG